rnacentral:misc_RNA from 1 species
GGACUCUUCACUUUUGAUGCCGCACCCGUGUCGGAUUCUCCAAAAAUACACUACUUUUGGUGAAUCCAACACGCAUCCAUUGAAAUUAUUAAAGAGUCCGAGCAACAUAGACAACAAGCACGGUCAUCUAGUAUUUAUGAUUAUUAUGAUAAACAAUCUUACCCAAAAACAGUCUCAUGGAAUAUGAACAGAGAUUGUUGCUUAUGGGAUGGAGUUAAAUGCGAUGAGACGUCGGGCCAAGUGAUUGAACUUGACAUCAGUUGUAGCCGGUGGGGAUGAUGAUUGAUUCCAAUAGCACUUUCUUUGAGCUCUCGUCUCCAAAAAGGCUCGACCUUUCUUGGAAUAACUUACCCAAUUCUCACACCUCAGACGAUAGAUGACUCCAACUGUAUUCUACUAAGAAAUGUGGCUGGAAAAGGGUGAUAUUCGACUCAAUCGUCCCUGCAACUGAGGUCAUGUUCAAUCACAUGCCCCCACGUCUUAUCGCAUUCACUCCAUCCCAUAGACACCAAUCUCAGCUCAUAUUCCAUGAAUUGUCUCUGGAUAAGAUUCCUGACCGUAGUAAUCACAAACACUCGAUGAGGGACCUACUGUAAGCAUUCUCUUGAAUUUAAGAAGGGAAAUGCUUUGAUCAGAAAUUUCUGUCCAAGAGCACAGUCGUCUAGGAUUUGUGAUUACUACGGUAAAAGAUCUUAUCCAAAAACUCUUUCAUGGAAUAUGAACAGAGAUUACUGCUUAUGGGAUGGAGUUAAAUGUGAUGAGACGUCAGGCCAAGUGAUCGAACUUGACAUCAGAUGUAGCUAGUCGGGACGAUGAUUGAUUCCAAAACCACCCUCCUCCAGCUCUCUCAUCUCCAAUGACUCGACCUUUCUUGAAAUAACUUAUCCAAUUCUCACGUCUCGGACGAUAGAUGACUUUAACUGUAUUCUACUAAGAAAUGUGGCUGGAAAAGGGUGAUAUUCGACUCAAUCGUCCCUGCAACUGAGGUCAUGUUCAAUCACAUGCCCCCACGUCUUAUCGCAUUCACUCCAUCCCAUAGACACCAAUCUCAGCUCAUAUUCCAUGAAUUGUCUCUGGAUAAGAUUCCUGACCGUAGUAAUCACAAACACUCGAUGAGGGACCUACUGUAAGCAUUCUCUUGAAUUUAAGAAGGGAAAUGCUUUGAUCAGAAAUUUCUGUCCAAGAGCACAGUCGUCUAGGAUUUGUGAUUACUACGGUAAAAGAUCUUAUCCAAAAACUCUUUCAUGGAAUAUGAACAGAGAUUACUGCUUAUGGGAUGGAGUUAAAUGUGAUGAGACGUCAGGCCAAGUGAUCGAACUUGACAUCAGAUGUAGCUAGUCGGGACGAUGAUUGAUUCCAAAACCACCCUCCUCCAGCUCUCUCAUCUCCAAUGACUCGACCUUUCUUGAAAUAACUUAUCCAAUUCUCACGUCUCGGACGAUAGAUGACUUU